rnacentral:rRNA from 1 species
CAGUAGCCGCGGGAAUACGAAGGGUGCAAGCGUUACUCGGAAUUACUGGGCGUAAAGCGUGCGUAGGUGGUGGUUUAAGUCCGUUGUGAAAGCCCUGGGCUCAACCUGGGAAUUGCAGUGGAUACUGGGUCACUAGAGUGUGGUAGAGGAUAGUGGAAUUUCCGGUGUAGCAGUGAAAUGCGUAGAGAUCGGAAGGAACAUCUGUGGCGAAGGCGACUAUCUGGGCCAACACUGACACUGAGGCACGAAAGCGUGGGGAACAAACAGGAUUAGAUACCCCAGUAGUCCCUGUCUCUUAUAC